rnacentral:rRNA from 1 species
CGGACGGGUGAGUAAUGUCUGGGAAACUGCCUGAUGGAGGGGGAUAACUACUGGAAACGGUAGCUAAUACCGCAUAACGUCGCAAGACCAAAGAGGGGGACCUUAGGGCCUCUUGCCAUCGGAUGUGCCCAGAUGGGAUUAGCUAGUAGGUGGGGUAACGGCUCACCUAGGCGACGAUCCCUAGCUGGUCUGAGAGGAUGACCGGUCACAUUGGGACUGAGAUACGGCCCAG